UACGUAGGGGGGCAAGCGUUGUCCGGAUUUAUUGGGCGUAAAGAGCGUGUAGGCGGCCAUACAGGUCAGCUGUGAAAACUCGAGGCUCAACCUCGAGACGUCGGUUGAAACCGUUUGGCUAGAGUCCGGAAGAGGAGAGUGGAAUUCCCGGUGUAGCGGUGAAAUGCGUAGAUAUCAGGAGGAACACCUGCGGUGUAGACGGCUUACUGGACCGUAACUGACGCUGAGGCACGAAAGCGUGGGUAGCAAACAGG
rnacentral:rRNA from 1 species